CGCCUCUUGAAGUAUAUAAGAGGUCCAGCCUGCCCAGUGACUUGUUUAACGGCCGCGGUAUCCUAACCGUGCGAAGGUAGCGUAAUCACUUGUCUUUUAAAUAAAGACUAGUAUGAAAGGCAUCACGAGGGUCAAACUGUCUCCUUUUUCUAAUCAGUGAAACUAAUCUUCCCGUGAAGAAGCGGGAAUUUCUCUAUAAGACGAGAAGACCCUAUGGAGCUUUAAACUGUAAAUUAUUAGCCUAUCUCCCCUACCCCCUCCAGAAAUUUAACACUUUAAGCCAACUAAUUGUACGUUUUAGGUUGGGGUGACCUAGGAGAAAAACUAAUCCUCCUAGCUGAUAUGGGCUAAACCCCCUAAGAAAAAAGCCACAACUUCAAUUAUCAAUAAAUUGACACCAAUUGACCCAGUCCGCUGAGCAACGAACCAAGUUACCCUAGGGAUAACAGCGCAAUCUACUUCAAGAGUUCCUAUCGACAAGUGGGUUUACGACCUCGAUGUUGGAUCAGGGUAUCCAAGUGGUGCAGCCGCUACUAAAGGUUCGUUUGUUCAACGAUUAAAACCCU
rnacentral:rRNA from 1 species